CCGUAGGGUCCGAUGGGGUGGCUAGGGCCGGGGCGGCGGGGGUGAGCAGGACCGUGGGUUCCGGAGCCGUGGGGUCCGACGGGGCCCUUCAAUACAUACCGUUUAUCCGCACACCAGCCAGUCCUUGUCUGUUUCCGCAGGAGGCAAGCCGAGACCAGCGGAGCCCCUCCAGGGAACAUCCCCGGGAUGCACCAAGGGGGUCCAUUUUCCCCUCUGCCCCUGCGAGGACAGAAAAUCUCCUGCCUGUCCUCACCGUAAUGAAUUGUGGAAAAGUGUUAUGAGUGAUGCAUUGUUCACAGGGGUCUUAGGAUGAGGGAAGAGAUGAGAAAGUUGACUCCAUGUUCAGAAGGCUUGGUUUAUUAUUUUAUGAUAUAUAUUAUGUUAAAAACUAUACUAAAAGAAUAGAAGAAAGGAUUUCAUCAGAAGGCUUAGCCAAGAAUAGAAAAGGAAUGAAUAACAAAGGCUUGUCUCUGACCGAGACAGUCUGGACACGUGGACUGUGAUUGGCCAUUAAUUAGAAACAACCAGAUGAGACCAAUCACAGAUCCACCUGUUGCAUUCCACAGCAGCAGAUAAGAAUUGUUUGCAUUUUGUUCUUGAGGCCUCUCAGCUUCUCAGGAGGGAAAAAUCCUAAGGAAAGGAUUUUUCAUAGAACAUGUCGGUGACAUGAGUAAAAAAAAGGGUUUACCCAUUUUUUUUAAAAGGUUGCAGAGUUACAAGUUGAGGUGGGAACUAGUUGCUGGCAGAGUUCUUUGUUAACUUCAUGUUGUAAUUACCUGUUAAGAGUAGUUCGUUAACUCUCUAUUGUUGAGAAUUCCCCUUUUUGUAUCAGUACCACCCUGCCUGCGGCCAGGUGGAUGGCCCUUCUUGGACAGUGCAAGGUGGGGACAUCGGAGGACAUGUAAAAUAACCUCAGACCCAGCAUGCCACGGCCACAGAAGACCUCAGCUGGAGCCAGUACUCUGGACGUCAAACCCGAAGAGUGGAACAAGGGGUAUAUCCCUACUGCUCUCGUGAGGACAGGACCCCCAGCUCUGCCUCCUAGUGGGCAAAGCUGCACUUUCCUCCUCCUCCAUGCCACUCCUGGGAGCGACGACGCAUGACCGCGGACCCAUCAGGCCUUCCCACCUGAGCUGAUCACUUGUAAUAAAGGCAUUAAAAAGGAGAAA